rnacentral:lncRNA from 1 species
AUUUUAUUAAUUAUUUUAAAAACUAUAUCAUAACUAAACUACCACUCAUGGCAAUUUGAAAAAAUAUCUUUUUUUUUUUUUUUUUUUUUUUGGUCAUUUGCAUAUAAACCGAUUGUGUGGCGAGGAGGCAUUGUAACCUGUAAAUGCGGUAACUCAAUGACAAUAUCGUUCAAUUUUAGUCAAACACUUGGAGUCUAAUAUUAAAGACAUACACUUGUCAUUAUAUGUAGUUAAGAGGGGAAAAGAAAACGUUAGGUAUCUUCCUUUAGUUUCAUCUCUUUCACACAUGACUUUGCUUUUCCUCAUGUUUUAACAACUAAAUACUAAAGUUUGAAUAAAAAUAAUCUGACAAAUGAAGCAAUUAUUACAUAAUUAUGACAUAAACAUUGUAUCAUUAUGUUUCAAAAUGAUUGCUUCGAUUUAUUAUAGACUAAUGGUGGUUAUUGUUUUUUGUUCCACUAUAAUUUUUGUCUAUUAAUAUGUGUUUUCUUGCUUUGUAUAUAUCUAAGCUUAAUUAUAGUUUUCAAAUAUGAAAAAAAACUAUAAACAAUAGAUUGGUUCGAAUUGUUAUAAGUUUUUAUUUGAACUGAAAUAAAUAUAUUUUGCCUAUUCAGGAAAAAAAAAAUCGAAAAGGAAAGAAAGAAAGAGCAUUUUUUUAUUUUUCCAUUGACUUAUUUUAAAUAGCGUAUUAUUUGGUAACAAUUUGACGAAACAACAUUAGGUGCAACGACUGUCACUUUAAAAUGAUCGUGAGAUUCUGUUUACACUUACCGAAUGUGAUUGCUCAUGUGAUUUCUUUAGAUU